rnacentral:rRNA from 1 species
CGGCGUGCAUAACACAUUCAAGUCGAACGGAGUGUAGCAAUACACUUAGUGGCGGACGGGUGAGUAACGCGUGAGCAAUCUACCCUUGGGUACGGAAUAACAACCGGAAACAGUUGCUAAUACCGUAAUAAAACAGCAGUAUCGCAUGGUACAACUGUACAAAGAGAAAUUGCCAAAGGAUGAGCUUGCGUCCGAUUAGAUAGUUGGCGGGGUAACGGCCCACCAAGUCGACGAUCAGUAGCCGGACUGAGAGGUUGAACGGCCACAUUGGAACUGAGAUACGGUCCAGACUCCUACGGGAGGCAGCAGGUGGGGAAUAUUGGGCAAUGGGGGAAACCCUGACCCAGCAACGCCGCGUGAAGGAAGAAGGCCUUCGGGUUGUAAACUUCUUUUAGCAGGGACGAAGGACGUGACGGUACCUGCAGAAAAAGCAACGGCUAACUACGUG